AUGGCGUGCCCGCUCAAGCCCGGGUUCCGCAGGGCCGUCGUGGACGGCGCGUACGGUGCCGAGGCCUCCACCGUGGACUUCCGCGGCGACCCCGAGGGUUCGCGCCAGCUGAUCAACGCGUGGGCAGCGCGCGCCACCAACGACCUGAUCGACUCCGUCCUCGGCAAGGGUUCGGUGAGCCCGCUCACCCGCGUCGUGCUCGGUAACGCCGUCUACUUCAAGGGCAAGUGGGAGAAGCCCUUUGAAAAGAGGCACAUCGCCGACGCGCCGUUCCGCCGGGCCGGCGGCCCCAUCGACGUGCCCUUCAUGCAGAGCUGGAAGAUGCAGUUCGUGGCUGUGCACGCCGGGUUCAAGGUGCUCAAGCUUAAGUACGAGAUGGGGGACGCGCGUGCGCGCCCGCCGCUCCAUCCCAGAGACGACGCGAGCACGCAAGACAGACGCACCGAAAUCUUUCACCGUGAUCCCACGAAGCCCGCCCCGUUCUUCCCUAACCGUGCCCCGCUCGGCCAUCCUGAUCGAUUCUCUCAUGCUGCUCGCCAGCCCAACGCAUCUUCCCGUCUCGCCGGCUUGCCCAGCUCCAGCUCCAGCCCCACACAGUUCUCCAUGUGCAUCUUCCUCCCGGACGCCGACGACGGCCUGCGCAGCCUGCUCGACGCGAUUGCUUCCCGGCCGGGCUUCUUGCACGAGCACCUGCCUACUCAGAAGGUGGACGUCGGUGAGUUCCGGGUGCCCAAGUUCAAGCUCUCCUUCCAUGACAGCAUCGUCGGCGUCCUCAAUAAGCUGGGCCUCGGCCUGCCGUUCAGCGAGGCGCCCGACCUGUCCGACAUGACGGAGGACGACCGCUCGGGCCUCCCGCUGGUCCUGAGCGAGGUCGUCCACAAAGCGGUCAUCGAGGUGAACGAGGAAGGCACCGAGGCCGCGGCCUUAACCAUGUGUCAGAUGUUCAUUGGGUGCGCGGCCAGGCUGAGGCUGCCGCCACCGGUGGAUUUCGUCGCCGAUCAUCCGUUCGCCUACUUCAUUGUGGAGGAAGGGACCGGCGCCGUCGUCUUCGCCGGCCAUGUCCUAGACCCCUCGACACAAUAA
rnacentral:rRNA from 1 species